AGAGUUUGAUCCUGGCUCAGAUUGAACGCUGGCGGCAUGCUUAAUACAUGCAAGUCGAACGGUAACAGGCAUCGGUGAUCCCUUCGGGGUGAUCUUGGCGCUGACGAGUGGCGAACGGGUGAGUAAUGCUUGGGAAUCUGCCCGGUAGUGGGGGACAACCCGAGGAAACUCGGGCUAAUACCGCGUAAGCUCCACGGAGGAAAGCGGGGGAUCUUCGGACCUCGCGCUAUCGGAUGAGCCCAAGUCGGAUUAGCUUGUUGGUGGGGUAAUGGCCCACCAAGGCGACGAUCCGUAGCUGGUCUGAGAGGACGAUCAGCCACACUGGGACUGAGACACGGCCCAGACUCCUACGGGAGGCAGCAGUAGGGAAUAUUGGACAAUGGGCGCAAGCCUGAUCCAGCAAUGCCGCGUGUGUGAAGAAGGCCUGCGGGUUGUAAAGCACUUUCAGUGGGGAAGACAAACUCGAGGUUAAUACCCUCGGGUCUCGACGUUACCCACAGAAGAAGCACCGGCCAACUCCGUGCCAGCAGCCGCGGUAAUACGGA
rnacentral:rRNA from 1 species